ensembl:miRNA
CAUUUCUAUUAGGUUGGUGCAAAAGUGAUUGCAGUGUUUGCCAAUAAAAGUAAUGACAAAAACUGCAGUUACUUUUGCACCAGCCCAAUAUAUGCCAACAGUGAACAAUC